UCCCUAAUAGCUCAGUUGGUAAAGAAUCUACCUGCAAUGCAGGAUAUCCAGGUUAGAUUCCUGGGUAGGGAA
rfam:TPA: Bos taurus chromosome 1, whole genome shotgun sequence.